rnacentral:tRNA from 5 species
GCCCUCGUGGUGAAACGGAUAUCACAACAGGCUUCGGACCUGUCGUUCCGGGUUCAAAUCCUGGCGAGGGCG